rnacentral:rRNA from 1 species
AGCGUAGGCGGCGCAACAAGUUAGGAGUGAAAUCCCGAGGCUUAACCUCGGAACUGCUUUUAAAACUGUUGUGCUUGAGUGAUGGAGAGGAAAGCGGAAUUCCUAGUGUAGCGGUGGAAUGCGUAGAUAUUAGGAGGAACACCAGAGGCGAAGGCGGCUUUCUGGACAUUAACUGACGCUGAGGCUCGAAAGCGUGGGGAAGCAAACA